rnacentral:rRNA from 1 species
UGCGUAGGCGGAUAUAUAAGUCAGCGGUGAAAUCCUGCAGCUUAACUGUAGUGAGCCGUUGAUACUGUGUAUCUUGAGAGUAGAUGAGGUAGGCGGAAUGUGUUGUGUAGCGGUGAAAUGCAUAGAUAUAACACAGAACACCAAUUGCGAAGGCAGCUUACUAAACUAUAUCUGACGCUGAGGCACGAAAGCGUGGGGAUCAAACAGGAUUAGAUACCCCUGGUAGUCC